GGCUCUUUCGUCUACGUGGCUAGGACGCCGCCCUUUCACGGCGGAAAAAGGAGUUCAAGUCUCCUAAGAGUCA
rfam:Hassallia byssoidea VB512170 scaffold_15, whole genome shotgun sequence.